UGAGGUUUCAAUUAUUGGUGACACAGCAAAUCUAUUAAGAAAAAUUGGGGGAAAACUAACAAAACUAGGUAAGGUCUAGCUUGACCUUCCUCUAAUUAAAAUGUGGUCAUUAAAGUAAUAUUUAAAUAGUAAGACAUUAACCCAGUCUCAUUCAUGAAUAAAAAGUAAAUAGGAAAUGAAAGGAAAAAGUCAAGAAUGCUCACUCUCACAGGAAUUCAACACUGAAUCGGAGAUACCAGCCAGGACAAUGAGAAGGCUAAGGAAAAUAGUAUUAUAAGACUGGAAUACCAGAAAUGAAAAUCUGGAAUACCAGAAAUGAAAAUGUACAGCAUAAACACAAAAUAAUUUACAAAUUACUGGCUGAAAAAUAUGUAAUUAUAGCUAGAUAUAAGAUCACUACACAAAAAUGAACUAUAUUUCGAUACUAGAAACUCAGUUGUACAUUUUUAAACAAAAUUUACAAAAGCAGCAUCACAAAAAAUGUCCAAGAUGUGGGUGAAAAACGAUUCAAUUUAUUGAAAGACAAGAUGUCAAUAAAUGGAGAGACAUACCAUGUUCAUAGAUGUCGUAAGAUGUGACAGUAAAAAGAUGUCAAUUCCCCUCAAAUUCAUCUGUAGACUCAACAUUUCUAAACAAAAUGCAAACAGGACUUUUCAUUAAACUUGAUAAAAUGAUUCUAAAAUAUAAUUGAAAUAGUAAAUGGUCAAGGAUAACUAAAAACAUUCUUUUAAAAAAGGUGUAAAGGAUGUGCCUUAUUAGAUAUCAAAACUAAGAAUAUGGGCUUAGCAACUGAAACAACAUGGUCUCAUCAGAGUAGCCAAACUUAUCAUUGGAACAGAACAGAGAACCUAGAAACAGACCAGAAAUAUGAAAACGUAAUAAGUGACAGAGAUGGCACUGCAGAUCAUUUGAGAAUAGAGAAUCUAUUCAGUAAAUGAUAGAGUGAAAAAUAUUAUUUAUAGAGAAGAAAAUGAAAUUCGAUCCCUACCUCACACCAUACACGAAAAUAAAUUCCAAGUGGAAUACAAACUUAAAUGUGAGAUGACCAUUUAAAGAUGUAUUAAAAACAAAAACAAAAACAAAAAAUUUUUUUUUAAAUAAUAAAAUUUUUUUAAAAAAUGGAGUUCCCAUCAUGGCUCAGUGGUUAACGAAUACAACUAGGAACCAUGAGGUUGCAGGUUCCAUCCCUGGCCUUGUUCAGUGGGUUAAGGAUCUGGUGUUGCCAUGAGCUGUGUGGUGUAGGUCGCAGACAUGGCUUGGAUCCGGCAUUGCUGUGGCUGUGGUGUAGGCCGGAAGCUACAGCUCUGAUUGGACCCCUAGCCUGGGAAUCUCCAUAUGCCGUGGGUGCAGGCCUAAAAAGACAAAAAUAAAUAAAUAAAAAUAAAGAAAUUCUCCAGAUUAGAGUCUGUUUCCAGGGGGAUCCAAAAAAAAAAAAAAAAUGCAUCAUUCACACUUUUAACAUUCCAAUUCACUUCCUGACUAUGCUUGGUUUCAAAGGAAUGUCUAUUCCUGGGAAGGGAAGGGGCUAAGAAAAGAUGAUGAUACAGGUCUACUGUAAAUAGCCAGGCAGUCUCACAAUCUCACACACACACACACACACACACACACACACACACACACGCACAUAUCAUAAAUCAUAUACAUGAGAAGAAAUCAACAAGGAAGAAUUUUUGUGGUUUGGCAGAGAGGAAAUGAUAGAUGAGUACAAAGGUUCCUUCCAAUGAUAAUAUUCAAUAGCUGGUUAUAGACCUGAGUUCCCUAUGAAUAAUCCCCAAAAGAAAUUUUUUGAAAACCUGACCCAACAUGAGUGGCAUGCAAUAAUUCAAAGAUGAACUGAAAUAAACUAGAGGAUUGCCUAUUUCAUCACAAGCCCAGUCAGAACUCAACCAUAUCCAUUUUGUAGGUACACAGAUACCCUAUUCUUUAAAAAGGUAUUCGCCUUCAAAACACCUUCCCAGGAGACCUGAAUUAAGAAAGCGCAGGAGUUUGUGCUGUGAUGCAACGGGAUUGGUGGCGUCUCUGCAGGGCCAAGGACACAGGUUCAAUCCACAGCCCAGUGGAUUAAAGGUUCCAGCACAGCCACAGUUGCAGCAUAAAUUGUAACUGCAGCUCAGAUCUGAUCCCUGGCCCAGGAACUCCAUAUGCUGCAGGUCAGUCAAAAAAGUAAAUAAAUAAAAAAGAAAGAAAUUGCUAUAGCAACAUCUGUCCAUCCAUACUUUCCCGGAAUGAAGGUGAUCAUCUUCCCACAGAAAAAUAUUAUCAGAGAAUUAAGUAAUAAUUAAAUGAGUUAGAAUUUCACUGAUAAGCUUUAUAGUGUCUGAUAUAAAGUUACUCUCUACCAGUCAAGAUCUCUCUACUCCACGUCAUCUAAACAUACACUCCUCACCACCUGAGAGAUGUUCAACCAGCCACACAGGAAAAAGAAGAUGAACAUUAUAGGAAAGGCCAUGAAUGCAUUGCUAUAUAGCAUCAACUACCUUACUUUUUUUUUUUUUUUUUUCCAGGGCCGCACACGGCAACGCCAGAUGCUUAACCCACUGAGAGAGGCCAGGGAUAGAACCUGUAACCUCAUGGUUCCUAGUUGGAUUCGUUUCUGCUGCACCAUGACGGGAACUCCCUGAGCACAAUUUUAAGAGAGCAAAAGAGAUAUUUACCACUCUAAUACUCCAACAAUUUUUGCAUUUAAAGAUAAUUUCUGAGUUACUGUAUGACUACAACAUCUAAAUAGAUAUUCCUCUUUCCUAAGAUUCUUACUUCCCUGUAAGCAACUAGCCAUACCUUGCCCUUGACCUGAAUCUUACACUUUAGAAAUAAGUGGAAUAGCAGGAACAUGUAUAAGUAAAUGCAGGUUUUCUCAUUAGUUUAAACAUAUAUAUAAUGUCUCAAUCCUAGGAAGCACACUGGGAAAAUCCCAUACUUUAUGUCACUUUGCCAAGUGCAGGCUGGUACACCAUCUUCUCUGUAACUUUGAGAUGCAAUUAGAAUGUAAGGGGGAAAACUGCAUUCCAGUUUUCACUCCCCACUGGAAUAAUGCUGGUAACAGUAACUCACCAAAGAAGAUGGGCAGAAUUUGGUCCCUUUUAGCAAUCUCUGAAAACACAAAAGACAACUUAAUCUCGUUAAAACAAAUAAUUUUUCAUAUUUUACAAGUUUUUCUUUCUCGUUUUUCUCAAAAUGUGAGUUAAAAAAAAAAA
rnacentral:lncRNA from 1 species